rnacentral:rRNA from 1 species
UACGUAGGGUGCAAGCGUUGUCCGGAAUUAUUGGGCGUAAAGAGCUUGUAGGCGGUUUGUCGCGUCUGCUGUGAAAUUUCGGGGCUCAACCCCGAACUUGCAGUGGGUACGGGCAGACUAGAGUGUGGUAGGGGAGACUGGAAUUCCUGGUGUAGCGGUGAAAUGCGCAGAUAUCAGGAGGAACACCGGUGCGAAGGCGGGUCUCUGGGCCGAUACUGACGCUGAGGAGCGAAAGCGUGGGGAGCAAACAGG